CCUAUGUGUAAUGUAAUGUACAAAGCAGGAGCUUAUUGUGCUCCGUGAUAAUUUCACCGAAUUUCUUUGUAGCUGACCAAAAUGACAGUAUUAUUUGUCUGUCUGCUGGAAGAAUCGGCGUCUAGUUGCACCUCCCGCAACACUACAAAGAAAUUCGUUUCACUCAUCCAUCUAAUUAUCCCUUUGACGGCGGCUUGGGAUCAAAACAAAAAGACUACAUCUCAGACCAACUCUUCAACGCGCGAUGCACGAAGAAAACCCUGAGAGUCUUUUAACACGAUCUCCUGUCGGCUAACGAAGACCAUUCAUCAAUAGGAAUCGCAGACAUUUGAGAAGACAAUUGACAACGCGAGCAGGAGUCAGUACCACAAUGAUAAGUACGUCAAGGCUAUUGCUCAAAGCACUCAUAACAGUGGAGUUUGAUCAUCGCCAGUGAGCAGGAAACCGCGGAUUGCCUGCAGGAGGGCAAUGUAAAUCGCAAAUUCCGAUUGUCUAAUGGCACCACCAAACCCGUUCGGAGUACUUUGGAUGCAUGCUCAAUUGUUUUGUUACAGUAAGCGAUCUAUUAUGGUGCUGGAACCAGCAGAGUGUGAUGUAUUUUCUCACAAUAUCGAGACGCAGAUAAGCGCAAAAUAAUGCAAAUGCCUUCGAUUGAUAAUUUGAGUUGCAUAGGGUUGUUCAGGUAACUUUUAAUUAUUAUCAUAAACACUGAUUACGAAAUAAAUAAUUUAAUUAGAACUAGUUAUAAUGCAUAAUAAGGAAUGAUCAAUUAUAUACGUUCAAAUUUCAAGCGUAAUUGUAAAACGUCUUGUGUUAGACGUGUUACGGAGGGGAGUGUUGCGCAAACGCAUUUUAAAUUAGAACUUCCAAUAUUUAAUAAUUGUUUAAAAUUUAAGCAUCCCUAGAGCCACAGUAGCCCUAUGUGUAAUGUACGUAUUGUAACUUGUGAGGAGGUGUAACAAAGCAGGAGCUUAUUGUGCUCCGUGAUAAUUUCACCGAAUUUCUUUGUAGCUGACCAAAAUGACAGUAUUGUUUGUCUGUCUGCUGGAAGAAUCGGCGUCUAGUUGCGCCUCCCGCAACAGGAUCCUCAAAUUAAUUUUGCUGUAAGAACAUGAAAAAAUAAAAGCCGUUUUUC